CCACCCCCGUAACUUCGGGAGAAGGGGGGCCCAGAGGGUGACGGGACUUGCUCCCCGAGCCUGAACGGCCGCAGAGACCAGGGAGAAGCGACUGUUUACUAAAAACACAGGUCCGUGCCAAGUCGCAAGACGAUGUAUACGGACUGACGCCUGCCCGGUGCUGGAACGUUAAGGGGACCGGUUAGCCUCACGGCGAAGCUGAGAACUUAAGCGCCAGUAAACGGCGGUGGUAACUAUAACCAUCCUAAGGUAGCGAAAUUCCUUGUCGGGUAAGUUCCGACCUGCACGAAUGGCGUAACGACUUCUCCACUGUCUCAACCACGAACUCGGCGAAAUUGCACUACGAGUAAAGAUGCUCGUUACGCGCAGAAGGACGGAAAGACCCCGGGACCUUUACUACAGCUUGGUAUUGGUGUUCGGUACGGCUUGUGUAGGAUAGGUGGGAGACUGUGAAGCUGACACGCCAGUGUCGGUGGAGUCAACGUUGAAAUACCACUCUGGUCGUUCUGGAUAUCUAACCUAGGUCCGUAAUCCGGAUCAGGGACAGUGCCUGGUGGGUAGUUUAACUGGGGCGGUUGCCUCCUAAAAGGUAACGGAGGCGCCAAAAGGUUCCCUCAGCCUGGUUGGCAAUCAGGUUUCGAGUGUAAGUGCACAAGGGAGCUUGACUGUGAGACUGACAAGUCGAACAGGGACGAAAGUCGGGACUAGUGAUCCGGCGGUGGCUUGUGGAAGCGCCGUCGCUCAACGGAUAAAAGGUACCCCGGGGAUAACAGGCUGAUCUUGCCCAAGAGUCCAUAUCGACGGCAUGGUUUGGCACCUCGAUGUCGGCUCGUCGCAUCCUGGGGCUGGAGUAGGUCCCAAGGGUUGGGCUGUUCGCCCAUUAAAGCGGUACGCGAGCUGGGUUUAGAACGUCGUGAGACAGUUCGGUCCCUAUCCUCUGCGCGCGCAGGAAACUUGAGAAGGGCUGUCCCUAGUACGAGAGGACCGGGAUGGACGAACCUCUGGUGUGUCAGUUGUUCUGCCAAGAGCACCGCUGAUUAGCUACGUUCGGGAGUGAUAACCGCUGAAAGCAUCUAAGCGGGAAGCAUGCUUCAAGAUGAGGUUUCCAUGGGGUUUACCCCGAGAGGCUCCCAGCUAGACUACUGGGUCGAUAGGCCGGAUGUGGAAGUGCGGUAACGCAUGGAGCUGACCGGUACUAAUAA
rnacentral:rRNA from 1 species